rnacentral:rRNA from 1 species
AUUGAACGCUGGCGGCAGGCUUAACACACGCAAGUCGAGCGGGGUGAUGGUGCUUGCACUAUCACUUAGCGGCGGACGGGUGAGUAAUGCUUAGGAAUCUGCCUAUUAGUGGGGGACAACAUCUCGAAAGGGAAGCUAAUACCCCAUACGUCCUACGGGAGAAAGCAGGGGAUCUUCCGACCUUGCGCUAAUAGAUGAGCCUAAGUCGGAUUAGCAAGUUGGUGGGGUAAAGGCCUACCAAGGCGACGAUCUGUAGCGGGUUUGAGCGGAUGAUCCGCCACACUGGGACUGAGACACGGCCCAGACUCCUACGGGAGGCAGCAGUGGGGAAUAUUGGACAAUGGGGGGAACCCUGAUCCAGCCAUGCCGCGUGUGUGAAGAAGGCCUUAUGGUUGUAAAGCACUUUAAGCGAGGAGGAGGCUACUUUAGUUAAUACCUAGAGAUAGUGGACGUUACUCGCAGAAUAAGCACCGGCUAACUCUGUGCCAGCAGCCGCCGUAA